UACGAACGCUGGCGGCGUGCUUAACACAUGCAAGUCGAACGGAAAGGCCUUUUCGGAGGUACUCGAGUGGCGAACGGGUGAGUAACACGUGGGUGAUCUGCCCUGCACUCUGGGAUAAGCCUGGGAAACUGGGUCUAAUACCGGAUAGGACCGCACUUUAGUGUGUGUGGUGGAAAGUUGUUUCGGUGUAGGAUGAGCCCGCGGCCUAUCAGCUUGUUGGUGGGGUAAUGGCCUACCAAGGCGGCGACGGGUAGCCGGACUGAGAGGUUGGUCGGCCACAUUGGGACUGAGAUACGGCCCAGACUCCUACGGGAGGCAGCAGUGGGGAAUAUUGCACAAUGGGCGCAAGCCUGAUGCAGCGACGCCGCGUGGGGGAUGACGGCCUUCGGGUUGGAAACUCCUUUCGCCAGGGACGAAGCGUUUUGUGACGGUACCUGGAGAAGAAGCACCGGCUAACUACGUG
rnacentral:rRNA from 1 species